rnacentral:rRNA from 1 species
CGCGUAGGCGGUCCGUUAAGUUGCUGGUGAAAUCCCGGGGCUCAACUCCGGGGCUGCCGGCAAGACUGGCGGGCUAGAGCACGGUAGAGGCAGAUGGAAUUCCCGGUGUAGCGGUGGAAUGCGUAGAUAUCGGGAAGAAUACCGGUGGCGAAGGCGUUCUGCUGGGCCGUUGCUGACGCUGAGGCGCGACAGCGUGGGGAGCAAACA